UACGAAGGGGGCUAGCGUUGCUCGGAAUCACUGGGCGUAAAGGGUGCGUAGGCGGGUCUUUAAGUCAGGGGUGAAAUCCUGGAGCUCAACUCCAGAACUGCCUUCGAUACUGGAAAGCUCGAGUCCGGGAGAGGUGAGUGGAACUGCGAGUGUAGAGGUGAAAUUCGUAGAUAUUCGCAAGAACACCAGUGGCGAAGGCGGCUCACUGGCCCGGUACUGACGCUGAGGUGCGAAAGCGUGGGGAGCGAACAGG
rnacentral:rRNA from 1 species